UACGUAGGGUGCAAGCGUUGUCCGGAAUUAUUGGGCGUAAAGAGCUCGUAGGCGGUCUGUCGCGUCGGCUGUGAAAACUCGGGGCUCAACUCCGAGCUUGCAGUCGAUACGGGCAGGCUAGAGUUCGGCAGGGGAGACUGGAAUUCCUGGUGUAGCGGUGAAAUGCGCAGAUAUCAGGAGGAACACCGGUGGCGAAGGCGGGUCUCUGGGCCGAUACUGACGCUGAGGAGCGAAAGCCAGGGGAGCGAACGGG
rnacentral:rRNA from 1 species